GCGAACGCUGGCGGCGUGCUUAACACAUGCAAGUCGAGGUGCGCAGUCUUCUGUAGCAAUACAGGAGGCGGGCGCACGGCACACGGGUGCGUAACACGUGGGCAAUCUGCCCUCUGAUGGGGAAUAACCCGCCGAAAGGCGGGCUAAUACCGCAUAACAUUCCUUGGCCUUCGGGCUGGGGAUUCAAAGGCCGCAAGGCCGUCAGAGGAGGAGCCCGCGCCCGAUUAGCUUGUUGGCGGGGUCACGGCCCCACCAAGGCUUUGAUCGGUAGCCGGUCUGAGAGGAUGGCCGGCCACACUGGAACUGAGAUACGGUCCAGACUCCUACGGGAGGCAGCAGUGGGGAAUCUUGCGCAAUGGGCGAAAGCCUGACGCAGCGACGCCGCGUGGGGGAUGAAGGUCUUCGGAUUGUAAACCCCUUUCGACCCGGACGAACAAUCCCGCAAGGGAUCUGACGGUACGGGUAUAAGAAGCCCCGGCUAACUACGUGCCAGCAGCCGCGGUAAGACGUAGGGGGCCAGCGUUGCUCGGAAUAACUGGGCGUAAAGGGUUCGUAGGCGGGUGUGGGUAGUCGGGAGUGAAAUCCUGAGGCUUAACUUCAGGACUGCUUCCGAAACUCCCAUGCUGGAGUGCGGGAGAGGCGAGUGGAAUUGCAGGUGUAGCGGUGAAAUGCGUAGAUAUCUGCAGGAACACCAGUGGCGAAAGCGGCUCGCUGGACCGCAACUGACGCUAAGGAACGAAAGCUAGGGGGAGCAAACAGGAUUAGAUACCCUGGUAGUCCUAGCCCUAAACGAUCAGAACUUGGGGUGGGCCCCUUUCGGGGUUCGUCCCGGAGCUAACGCGUUAAGUUCUGCGCCUGGGGAGUACGGUCGCAAGGCUGAAACUCAAAGGAAUUGACGGGGGCCCGCACAAGCGGUGGAACAUGUGGUUCAAUUCGACGCAACGCGAAGAACCUUACCUGGGCUUGAACCGCACCGGACCAUCCCGAGAAAUUGGGACUUCCCGCAAGGGACCGGUGUAGAGGUGCUGCAUGGCUGUCGUCAGCUCGUGCCGUGAGGUGUUGGGUUAAGUCCCGCAACGAGCGCAACCCUUACACGUAGUUGCUACCUGCAAAGGAGAACUCUACGUGGACUGCUCCGGAUAACGGAGAGGAAGGUGGGGAUGACGUCAAGUCAGCAUGGCCUUUAUGUCCAGGGCUACACACGUGUUACAAUGCGCGUCACAAACCGUCGCAAACCCGCGAGGGGGAGCUAAUCGGAAAAAAACGCGCUCAGUUCGGAUUGCACUCUGCAACUCGAGUGCAUGAAGCCGGAAUCGCUAGUAAUGGCGUAUCAGAACGACGCCGUGAAUACGUUCCCGGGCCUUGUACACACCGCCCGUCACAUCACGAAAGUGGGCUGUACUAGAAGUCGCCGAGCCAACUCGCAAGAGGGGCAAGCGCCCAAGGUAUGGCUCAUGAUUGGGGUG
rnacentral:rRNA from 1 species